UACGUAGGGUGCGAGCGUUAAUCGGAAUUACUGGGCGUAAAGCGUGCGCAGGCGGUUCGCCAAGUCAGGUGUGAAAUCCCCGGGCUUAACCUGGGAAUUGCGCUUGAAACUGGCGGGCUAGAGUGUGGCAGAGGGGGGUGGAAUUCCGCGUGUAGCAGUGAAAUGCGUAGAGAUGCGGAGGAACACCGAUGGCGAAGGCAGCCCCCUGGGCUAGCAUUGACGCUCAGGCACGAAAGCGUGGGGAGCAAACAGG
rnacentral:rRNA from 1 species